rnacentral:rRNA from 1 species
GACGAACCGUGCGAACGUUGUUCGGAAUCACUGGGCUUAAAGGGCGCGUAGGCGGCUUCUUUUGUCUGGGGUGAAAUCUUCCGGCUCAACCGGAAGCGGUCCUCGGAAACGGAGAGGCUUGAGGAAGGUAGGGGCGGGCGGAACUUCCGGUGGAGCGGUGAAAUGCGUAGAGAUCGGAAGGAACGCCGGUGGCGAAAGCGGCCCGCUGGACCUUCCCUGACGCUGAGGCGCGAAAGCCAGGGGAG